UUUAUGGAGAGUUUGAUCCUGGCUCAGGAUGAACGCUGGCGGCGUGCCUAAUACAUGCAAGUCGAGCGAACGGACGAGAAGCUUGCUUCUCUGAUGUUAGCGGCGGACGGGUGAGUAACACGUGGAUAACCUACCUAUAAGACUGGGAUAACUUCGGGAAACCGGAGCUAAUACCGGAUAAUAUUUUGAACCGCAUGGUUCAAAAGUGAAAGACGGUCUUGCUGUCACUUAUAGAUGGAUCCGCGCUGCAUUAGCUAGUUGGUAAGGUAACGGCUUACCAAGGCAACGAUGCAUAGCCGACCUGAGAGGGUGAUCGGCCACACUGGAACUGAGACACGGUCCAGACUCCUACGGGAGGCAGCAGUAGGGAAUCUUCCGCAAUGGGCGAAAGCCUGACGGAGCAACGCCGCGUGAGUGAUGAAGGUCUUCGGAUCGUAAAACUCUGUUAUUAGGGAAG
rnacentral:rRNA from 1 species